CUGUUCGAGCGUUAUUUCAACCCUCAAGCCCCCGCGGUUUGGUGUUGGGGGCCGGCGAUUGUCAGCUGGGCCGCUCUGGCGGUUCCCUGCGGCUCCGCCCCCGAAAUGAAUUGGCGGCCCCGUCGCGGCCUCCUCUUGCGUUAGUUAGCCUACU
rnacentral:rRNA from 1 species